AGAGUGAACGCUGGCGGUAGGCCUAACACAUGCAAGUCGAACGGCAGCACGGUAAGAGCUUGCUCUUAUGGGUGGCGAGUGGCGGACGGGUGAGGAAUACAUCGGAAUCUACCUUUUGGUGGGGGAUAACGUAGGGAAACUUACGCUAAUACCGCAUACGCCCUUCGGGGGAAAGCCGGGGACCAGCAAUGGCCUGGCGCUGAUAGAUGAGCCGAUGUCGGAUUAGCUAGUUGGUGAGGUAAUGGCUCACCAAGGCGACGAUCCGUAACUGGUCUGAGAGGAUGAUCGAGUCACACUGGAACUGAGACACGGUCCAGACUCCGUACGGGAGCAGCAGUGGGGAAUAGUGGACAAGUGGGG
rnacentral:rRNA from 1 species